rnacentral:rRNA from 1 species
AGUAGUUUUUUAAUUGAAAACUUGUAUGAAUGGUUUAAUGAGAUAUAUACUGUUUCAUAAAAAAUUAAAUAAAAUUUUAUUUUUUAGUUAAAAAGCUUAAAUAAAAUUAUAGGACGAGAAGACCCUAUAGAAUUUAAUAAUUUAAUUAAAUUAUUUAAUUUAUAUUAAUUUGUUAUAUUUUAUUUAAAUUAUUUUGUUGGGGUGAUAGUAAAAUUUAAUUAUCUUUUAUUUAUUUAAUACAAUAAUAUUUGAUUAAUUGAUCCAAUUUUAUUGAUUAUAAGAUUAAAUUACCUUAGGGAUAACAGCGUAAUUUUUUUAUAGAGUUCUUAUUAAUAAAAA